rnacentral:lncRNA from 1 species
GGGGUGUAAAAAGAAUGGAGGAAUAAAUGUUUGCCGUUACAGUUUAAUUCAAUCAGAUAUACCUUUCUCUUAACGUUUCAACUGUUUUCAGUGUUAUAAAUGGACAUAAAUCAAGAACAGUAAAAGCGACGCUACCCAAAUUCGUACUUGAUCUAAGUUUUAUGAUAAUACGCAUAUUGUAUAAGUUUCAUUACAUUUUGUUGUUGCUAAAUUAAAA